AAUACUGAGCUCUGACAUUGGGUGAGAUAAAACACUGCCCUGGAGGAGAGCUUCUUUCAAGAUGAGGCGUUUAUAGAUAAAGACGUAUUCACAGGCUUACAAAAAUAAUGUAUAGACUUCACGUUUAUUUCUUUUAGGGGCUCAAAGCACUUUAUGAGCAUUUCUUAACUCACCUUCAAGUGCGCGCAUGAAUUCGGAGAGCAGUGGGCCCACUGUUAUUGUGCUCCAUGUCCAGACUGGAAGCUGAGGCUGGAACCAAUGAGGCAAAGUGUCUGUGAACACAGGCAGAGUCAGCCAGAGCUAGGCUCCCUUCAUACACCAGGAGGUUCCCGGGUCUCACUGUGUUGUCCAGGCUGCAAUGCAGUGGCUAUUCACAGAUGUGAUCAUAGCACAAUGCAGCCUAAUUCCUGGCCUGGAUCAGUGCUCCUGCCUCAGCCUCCCAAGUAGCUGGGACCACAGGCAUGCACCACAACACUCAACUACAUGGCAGUUUGGCGGUUAUGCCAAGGAAGCAGACUACGUAGCACAAGCCACCCGUCUGCGUGCUGCCCUGGAGGGCACAGCCACCUACCGGGGGGACAUCUACUUCUGCACGGGUUAUGACCCUCCCAUGAAGCCCUACGGACGGCGCAAUGAGAUCUGGCUGUUGAA
rnacentral:sRNA from 1 species